UUUUUUCUGUCUCAGCUCUUCCCCAGAGGGGGCAUGAAAGGCCUUGAGGAUACCCCACAGGAAGGAAUUUCCAAGUGCGCCUUCCUGGGAUCUCAAGGGCUUCUGCACUAGAGUGGUGGCAGCAUCUACCAGUCCAAGCUGGGACUGGAAUAGCAAGACACAACUGAGGUGCCUGGGCCAAGAAUGCACACCAGCUGCUCCUUAGCAAGAAUCAUUAACCAAGUUCCACAUGUGAGACGAAAGGUUUUCCUGAAUGAGGUUGCACAGGUGUACAGUCCUGAUAUGCAGAAGCACUCAAGGCCC